UAGUGUCCUUUUUCUUUUGUAGAGAAGAAAAGUGUGUGUUGAAGACAGCUAGGAGUGCUGGUAGCAUAGGGCUACAAGGUAUAGGAGGUAUAUUUUAUGCAUUUCCUCCAGUUUGAAGAGCUCUCAGGUACAUGUAUUUAAAAGGGUGUUUUUCUGACAUCUAUUGCCGCCGCUUUUGCUGAUCAGCAUGCAAAGGAACAUUAUGGUGGCCUGACUUUUUUUUUUUGUUCCCAUUGGGAUGACAAAUCCUCACUCUUGGAAGCACAUUCCAAGUAGCCAGGUGGGAGCAGAUGUGCUGCAGCAGAGAGAAAGAAUCCUCCUUCUACCUCAAACAGCAGCUGCAGAAUUACUCCAUGGAAGCUAGCUAGUGUGCAUCUUGGCGGCUGGCAUCAUCUCUUCAGCCCCUUAUUUCGCCACCAGAGGAUGGAGGAUCUUGCAUGUGUCCAAUACACCAUAGAUGCCUUAAGGACAAAAGGAGCUCAGGCCUACAGGAACUGCUUUUAAAUUCACAGUGAUCACAGACUGUACUGGGGUUGGGGGAGGAAUAUAAAUCAUCGCAAACCCCCCCCCACAUACACACAUUUCCUGUCACCUGACUCCCCUCACAGAGUGCCAAAAACGUCAUCAAUAGCAAUUACAGGGCUGCAAAGUUCAAAUGUUCCAGAGGGGCAGUGCUGCCCACUCUUGUUAUGCUUGGUGUUUUUCUUAAACCCCCAGUGCCUGGAGUCAUGUGAUUCUGAGACUCAGCUUUCAUUUGUUUAAAAAUAGAAGUUUUUAUCCCUCAUGGGUGCAGAGAAAAAGCUUGAACACAUGACCAGCAUGCACCCCUCCCCUCCCCAAAGGCCCAGAAAUAAGAAAGCAAUUAUAAAAUUAAUUGUGUUUAUUUUUAAGCCCACGAUUUGUAUGCCAGUCUCAUGAUUUGAGGCCUGAAGGCUUGGGGUUGAUAAUAGUGCAGUGAACACCAUGGUCUACUAAAAAAAAAAAAAAAAAAACCACAGGAAAGUCCUUGGACACGGGCCUAAGAAUGUCUGUCUUUCUGGGAAAUGCUUAAUCAAGGCAUCGUGACUCAGCAGGUCAAACUCAGAGCUUUCUUGAUGUGACUAGAACUCACGUUAACUCUUUUCUUGUUCUACUCCCUUUCUAUGUUUAGCCUUUCUGUUUCAUGGUCUAUGUUUAAAAGGUGUUAAUCGUCAGAACAGGGACCGUGACUUCAUUUUAAUCUCUGUGUAAUAACAACAAAAGAUAUGGUGCUACAUACAUAGUUAAAAGCAAUCAUCAUCUGUGAGGGAGCAGAGUAUUUACACGAGUUCCUAAAGUCCUGGCCCCGAAUGCACUAGAUUCAGUGUAAAGCCUAGGAUGGAUGCUCUGGAAGCUGUCUCUUCUUUGGUUGGCAUCUAUCUAGGGAUACUAAAUGCUUUUGUAACUUUUUAUAAAAUGUCCUUUUACGCUAAAGGGGGAGGCGUAUGUAUUAUAAAGGGCUUGGGUAGCAUCCCUUUACAUAGCUCUACUAGAGGGUGGCUCACAGGGGUCUAAAUUUCAGAAGCCAGACAGAGCAGCAGUGUUGAGAUGAUUAGUAAACACGGUUUAGAUCCUAAUGGGCCCCUGUGGUUCCUUCCUAUUUCAUAUGUGGCCCAAAAGGCAGAAGACACAGCAGAGGUUCCAAGUUCUCAGCCGAACAGUAGGGAACGUUCUAAGGACCUCGUACGUGCAAUUCAGUCACUCUCCUAGACUCUCUCUCUCAUUUAUAGCAAUCUCAGCAGUUACUGGUAACAAGAAGAGAUCAAAUCUUUUAAGAGAUGGUAUUGUUAAGUUGACAAUUAUUUUAAUGGAGGAUAUUGAGGGAAAUGUAAAUCCUAGGAAAGAACAAUGUUAUGGGUACUGGGCCUUUGAGGGGAUGUCUAUGCUGCAAUGAAAACCCCCCGGCUGGCCUGUGCCAGCUGACUUGGUUUGUGGCGCUCGAGCUAAGGGGCAGUUUAAUUGGGGUGUAGAUGUUCAGGCUCGGGCUGCAGCCCAGGCUCUAGAACCUUGUGAGGUUGGAGGGUUCCAGAGCUCGAACUGCAGCCUAAACCGUGUCUACAUGGCAAUUAAACCAACCCUUAGCCAGAGCCAGCUGGCACAGGCCAACUGUGGGUGUCUAGUUGCAGUGUAGACAUACCCUGAGAGAACUUAAACGAUGGUACGGGAGUAAUAUGUAGGAAGGAUACAGAGGUGGAUAUAUGCUGUUAGUCACUACGACCAGUUCUACUAGCACAUGAUAAUAUGUAACAUUGUUCAUAAGUUAGUGGGACAAUAAAGUUAUCAGUGUGCACUACAAAUGGCUUCCUUAUCACAAAGCUCUUAAGAGGAAUCUCCGGGAGCUUUGAUUACCAUGCCCCAGAAUACACUGGCCACCAAACUUGCCCCUCCAAGUGCCGUGUCAGCAUAUCCUAUUCCUUUGAAGGUGCUGGACUCAGCAAGACAAGCUGUUACUCUUGCUGCUCUGUUACACCGGAAGCUCUUAAAGUGCCGAUCCCCAACCCCCUAAGCAGUGCUCCAGUCCUUUUAAAAAAAAAAAAAAAAAAGGUAGUACCAGAAUGCACUGCUGGUAAGUGAAAAUACCAGGAGUACCAGAAUGUGGAGACAGCUUCUCCAAGACAGUGCUGGAACAGGGUUUUCCAGCAUUCCCACAGACUCAAGUCCCACCCAUUGGUCUCUGCUGUUAGGUUUUUCCUUUCACGGAAUAGAUGCGUUUCAGAUUUUCCCAACUUUCAUUAACUUUACAAAGCUGAAUUCAAAUUUGUGGUUUCCUACUUAUCUUUAGCACAUCUCUGACUUCCAACUCCUUGCAACUGUGGGGCCUAUUCUCAUUUCCAUUGAAGACAGUGGCAAAACUCCUAUAGGAGCAGCUCCUCCAUAGCAAAGAACAGUCAGCAGCUCAGACAGGCACUUAAGCUGUCCUGAAGCACAGGAUUUAUUUAUUUACCACCUUCAGCUCUCUGAGAAGCCCCUUUUGUGAAGCUACUUGGAUAUUGUUCUGUGUGGCAACUGAGAACUCUUAAAUGAACUAGUGAUGGAACAGUAAGGAAACAGACUAAGUGAACAGGACACAUGGAAAUUGGCUUUUUAAAGCAAUCAUUUAACUACCUGGUUCAAAAAAAUGUUCUUUCCCAAAGCCUCAUGCUGCUGAUAUGCUUGCUCCUCAUUUUAUUUAUCAGUGGCACUUCUAUUUUAAGUAUUAGAAGUGAUUUCUCUUCAAUGGUAGAGAAGUAUCAUUUCACCUGCAGCCAAGUAGGACCUGGAAAAGAAUGCUGUAGCUGAUGGGAGGGUCAGUUGGAGCCAGUUCUAAACUGGUUGUUCUGCCUCAAUGCUUAGCAGAGCUUGCUGUGUCCUUUCAGAAAUGGAGAUUUUGCUUCUGUGCAUAUGUCUGAUCUGCAUAGUUCACUGCAUUCUAGAGCGGCAUUCAGUGAUCAUUCAGAUAGAACAGACAAGAAGGAGCUCUGCCCAAAGUGGUCCAUUUAUACAGACCAACAGAAUUGUGGUCUUUUGGUAACAGAAUUCUUGAAUGUUAAUGUUAAACACCCCACACCCAUGGCAAUAUUUGCUCACUGUGUUAGUGGUUUGGAUCUCCACAAGAACGUUUAGAUGUUUUUGUUAUUGGUUUUAGUAUCAAAAUGUGUAGCCAUCAAAAUUAAUGAUUACCAGACAUCAGGGUCCCAUAGGUCUCCUCUUCUGUGAGUAAAGCUUUGGAAUGAUUAGGAGGGGUCUCUUCUGCCUGCUGUCCUGGCAAUGGAAGUGGCUUAUGGGCACACUACACUAACCUAAAGAUUUGGUGGCCUAGGAGGUCAUUUUGGAUAGCUGUUCCUCACCCAACUUGCGCAAGGGGCACAUUAGUCAGGGACCUGGUUCUUGGUUACUGCUCUUGAAAGGAGAUCCAGAAGCUGAAGUUUCCCUGUUGUGCACAACCAUUGUGACCCAGCCCUCGUACAAUGGGCUAUGAGGCCAACCAGUCCCCACCUUGUUUGUGCUCUGCUCCCACCUGCCCAUCCCACUCCUUACAAGGGAGCCAGAGAAAGAGGGACCUACUUGCUGGACUCUGUUCUUCACAGCACAUUCCCCUUGGUCUCCUCCCGAGAAAGCAGAUUUACAGGACUCUCCCUUCUAAACAGCUUCCUUCUUUCUGCACUGGCUAACUGAGUCUAGGCUAAUUUGUACAGCUAGGGGAUGUGGUGGGGAAGGAGGCCCUAUUUAAAGGGAAGGACUUAUUUGCCUCUAGUCUAGUUCUAGCAGAGUCGACUUGUUGAUAUGCAGACUAUAAUGCAGUGACUAUUUAGUCACACCAGUUCUGAUUCUCCACUGCCUUGUGUGAUAUGGCAGCAUUUAAACCCCCAGCGUGCUCACUGGGAGGAUAAUUACAAAAGAGGCAGAGCAGUGAAGAAUCAGGCCCUUAGCCUUUUUCAGGGUGGAGUUUUGGGUCAGUUUUUGACAUGGUAACUUCAGUUUCUGCUGUUUAUGUUUUUAAAUUGCUCACGAACCUAGAAAUCCACGAGAAAUACAUGAUAUACAUGGUGCAGCAGAUAUGGCAAAUGCCUGCAAUACCCUUGGAAGACCUUGUUUUAUUCGGUUUAUGAAUUAUUGUGAGCCAGGACCUAUGUAACCUCUGUAGAGGGAGAUGUGACAGAUGUAGGACCAGGACAUUCAAGAGACUAUAAAUUAAAGCAAAUUCCUCAACUCCAGUUAUGCAAAACCGUUGCCUUUUGAAACUAUGCCCUGCGGACUGAGUCACUGGCUGCUGAUUACUUGUUGCAGAAGACCCAGAUCAAAGGCCCAAGCUAAUUCUGGAUCAAAGGUGGAUACACACUUGUAAUCACAAGAAAAACCCAGUUAUGGGAUUUGAAGGCCAAAACUCUGCAACGCCUAAGGUUGGAGCUGGGGUGACGUCUGGUAAGCUUUUUAGUGUGUGGAGGUUCUUUAUGGUUUUCAUAGGUUUUCUCCAUAAUGUUGUCACCUUAAGAAUAAAUGUGCUUUCCUAGAAGGAGUUUGUGGUAACUUAUAACUGUUAGUAAUACACUGGUCAUAGCCCUUGGAGAGAAAGCAGAGCGCAGAUGCUGGCCUUUUUGGGCAGUCUGGCUUGUUGGGGAUAUCACAGCGUAAGCAGGGAACUAUGCAGCCUUAAAAUCCCUGGUCAGGCAGGAGUAAUAUGUGGGUCUUCAUCCAAGAGAGGUCAUGUGUGGGAGCCAGAAGCCUAAAGUGGGUGCCUUUGAUGGAUCACCGAGGGGGAAUACAGUGCAGUUGCCCUGAAACCGUGACACAUGGAACAAUGUUAGAGGACAAUCCCUUCUUGUGGUUUACCACUUUGAACUUCUCUAGAUGCUGGAUGAAGCUUGGAGCUUCCCGAGGCAGAGGUGGAUUAAGGCCAUAAACAGACUGGCUGAUUUGAGCCUUAUGCUUUGAGAGGACCUCCAGAUUUUGGAAAAUAGCUCUCUUCCCUCACCCACCAGGGUGGUCCAUGCAGUCUGAAUCCAGACCUGUUCUGAGCUAUACUCUGCAUGUUAGGGAAUGGCCAGACCAUUUAGUUACUGGGCUCAUUUCCAUCUGAUUUUAUGAUAAGUGUAAGAAACUAACCCCCCACACCCCAAGAGCUCAGAGUAACUGUAGAAGACUCUCACCAGUUGGUGCACUCCCUUAUGGCAGGGCAUGAUGUUGCAGGACCUUCUCAUCAAUCACCUCCACUGGACAGUCAGUCAGUCUUGCUGGUGGUCCAGUUAUUCUGGUGAUCUGGGCCUCUGGCCAGGUCACAUUCAGACUCACCCCUUCCAGGGUAAACCAGGAAUCCAACAAAAUGAUAGUCCCCUGCCCUCACACUUCAGCGUGACUCAAGAGUCAGUAGUUUUCACCCCUUGUAUCAAGGGUUUCUGCACCACCUUCCUCAGUAGGCCCUAGGGCAAUGGGUCUCAACCUAUUUACCAUUCUGGGCUGCAUAUGCGGCCUACAAUAUGUUAUGUGGGGUGCAUCCAAUACUACCUGUAUGGCCCUGAUGUCACAUGAGCUGCAGCUGUGUGCCAAUUGGGCCACAAGCAGCCCAAGGCCACAGGUUGAGAACCACUCCCUUAGGGGAACUCACACUCUCCCUCUAUUCUAGAGUCCAAUCCAGGGACCCUCUAGCAAGCGCACUAAGAUGGUCUACUCAGACACCUUGUUUUUAUCCCUGGACCACUUCCUCCCUGGCCCUAUUUCAGAGCUCUUGCUGGACUCAGCAGGUCUCUCAGUAGGCCUCUUCUCUAGGCCUAUUGUAAAGAGCUUCCUAACACCUUACUACCAUCUCUUUUGCUCUAUGUGAAUUUUUCUACUCCAUCCAGAGGUAGGGUUACUACUGCCGAGACAUAAUAAGAACAGCCAUCACCCAAACACCAACAAAAGCCAGUGACUAGCCACCUAACAAAAAAGAUCCAGCUAUAGCUAAAGUGUUUGAGGGAAACAUUUUACACACACACACACAGAUUUUAAAGUGUAUUUUGAUGUUAUUUUAUCAUUUUUCUUACCUUACCUGGAUUACAGGGAUGUGAAACGUAGAACAUUCUAACGCGCCCC